GUGCGCACUUUGGCAGCACAUGUACUAAAAUUGAAAUGGUACAGAGGAGAUUAGCAUGUCCCUGCACAAGAAUAACACAUAUAUUUGUAAAGCAUUCCAUAUUUUU